AGUAUCUGAAGACUCAAGAUGUGAACUUCUUUCAUGAAGGGAAACAAAGCCUAAACACUGGUGGACCAAGUGCAUUGAAGUGAUGGGAAGAAGAAGGCUCAAAGGGAAAGACUCCAGUUCCUUCUAAAAAUUCUGGAGAAAUUCUGCUUUCCUCCCCAUUGCAACUGAUGAACAUCCACCAACAACCAAGCAAAGUUUUAUUCUUUAAUGUCAGAAGAGUCAUGGCAGUUUUUCCACUAAACACAUCCUUUGAAUAUGAAGUUAAAAUCAGAGUUGGUUAGCUUUUGUUAGCGGAAAGAUCUGAAGCAAGAGGAAACAUGGUGGCCUGGCUCUUUGCAAGAAUAACACAACCCACCUACCAGCACCCCUACAGCUCUCUAAUUAACACAUUGUGGUUUUACAGAGAGGAUCAGCCACAACAUUAAACCUACUGAAAGGUGACGUGUGUAAUCAUUAGGUCACAAUGCAAUGCCCUCCUGGGAAACUGAGUCCUUGCAUUCUUGGGAUGUUACUUUGAAACCCAUCUGAAGACCAAGAAUACCCCAACAUGGCAACAAUAUUCUCCUCACUACACCUAAAAAACUGCUCAGGAGCAACUCAGGGAACAUGGCAAAGAGCCUAAGGCCUUUAUCCAACCUCCUAAAGCCCGAGAUCCCAAUCUGAUGGACGUGUCAGAACGAGCCCAACCCAUGGAAGCCCCACCAAGCAACCCAAACAACCCAGAGGAUCUGCCUAAGUCCCACUGCCAGACACCACUGGACACCCCAAGAGGUCCUGUGUACAUAAUCAAUGAUUAAAAGCUGUUUUAAGCAGUCGAAAUGGGACCUACACAAUACUAAGCAGGGGGUUUUAAUGUUGUGGCUGAUGGAAAUAGCUUAGCUUAGCAUUUAUCCCACGUACCAGCACCAGUCUCUGUUCAAUAAAGCGUAUUUCUCAAACGUCAGACUGUUCCCUCAACUCUCUAUUGUGCUGUGCUGUCCACCGU
ensembl:lncRNA